rnacentral:rRNA from 1 species
UGAGGAAUAUUGGUUAAUGGGCGCAAGCCUGAACCAGCCAUCCCGCGUGCAGGAAGACGGCCCUAUGGGUUGUAAACUGCUUUUCCAGGGGGAGAAUUUUUCUGUCGUGACAGGAAUUGACGGUACCCUGGGAAUAAGCAUCGGCUAACUCCGUGCCAGCAGCCGCGGUAAUACGGGGGAUGCGAGCGUUAUCCGGAUUUAUUGGGUUUAAAGGGUGCGUAGGCGGAUUGAUAAGUCAGUGGUGAAAACCUGCAGCUUAACUGUAGACUUGCCGUUGAUACUGUCAGUCUUGAGUAUGGUCAAGGUAGGCGGAAUGUGUAAUGUAGCGGUGAAAUGCUUAGAUAUUACACAGAACACCGAUUGCGAAGGCAGCUUACUGGGCCAUUACUGACGCUGAUGCACGAAAGCGUGGGGAUCGAACAG